rnacentral:snoRNA from 1 species
UGUCCUUGACUUGGGUAAAAAAAAAAAAGUUUGGUGCUGCCUAUCUCAUAUAAGCCAGGGAUGAAUCAAUGCCUUAUUAAAAAAAAAAAGGCUUUUGGUCUGUGCCCAUACCUGGUUUAUGCCUUGGACACAUGG